AUGAAUUCUUGCACUUUGCCAUCAAACAUUUGCAUGAGGGAACGUACGGAUGACAGUACGGAGUUCAUGGUGAUGGCCUGGGGUAAAGAUUGAGAAUUAAAAUCAGGACAAGCUGGGACAGGAUCUCAGAUGGCAAGUAAGAGAAAAAACUGUUGCUGCUUCUCUCCAGAAAAUCAAAGCUACCAGAUGCUUGAAGACAUCAAUUAUACAACAAAGGCCUUAGUGGUCCAGCUCCAAGUGCCACAGUUGUAUUGUUUACAUUCCUGUGACAAAGCCACAGAGGAUGAGGACGAAGGAGGAGAAUCAAGGUUUGCACCGAGAGUAAAGAGAUUUAUUUGAAUUCCAUUUACAAUACAGUAUAAUUGAU